UCCGUUGCUCAUCAUCGCCACUCUCGUAGUGUGAUUGCAUUGUGAUCUUGCCUGGUCCGAGAGCAAUGAUGAAAAAGAACACUGUCGAGAGAGAGUGGGUGGCGAUAGCAGUGGUGGCAUAUCUACUCAUCAUGGUGGAUCUAUUGCCUUCACCUACGAGUGCCUCUUUGCUUCCUGCUCAACAUGUUCCCGAUGCCCCAGGUGUAAGCAAAGAAGGCAAGACGGGAUCCCCAAGAAAAGCAUUAGGUGGUUGGUUCAAACUCAAGGGGGCAAUUGGUCUUGAUUCCUACGUUGAUUUCGGGAAGAAGAAGAGGAGGAAAGCGAUGGGGUCGCGUAGCCUAAGGGCGAGUCUCGACAUGUCUCCACCCUCACCUAAUCGUAAUUUUCCCCGCUCCCAUUUUCCUGUACCGGCUGUACCCUAGUCACUACUCCCAUCAUCCUGUACCCUUUUGAAAGGAGUUACGUACGAACAUUUGGCAUAUACUAAAUGUGUAAGAGUUGGGUUGUAGGUCAAUCCUACUCUAAAUAAUAUUGGUGUAAGGAUUUUGUGAGA